rnacentral:snRNA from 1 species
GUGCUUGCUUUGACAGCACAUAUACUAAAAUUGGAAUGAUACAGAGAAUGUUAGCAUAGCUCCUAAGGAUGAUACACAAAUUCUUUGAAGAGUCCAUAUUUUUU